rnacentral:rRNA from 1 species
GUCUACGGCCAUACCACCCUGAACGCACCCGAUCUCGUCUGAUCUCGGAAGCUAAGCAGGAUCGGGCCUGGUUAGUACUUGGAUGGGAGGAAGAAAGAAAAUCUAAACA